UCAACACAAAAUAUGCUUGGGUGGAAAUUCUUUUCUCUGAAUCUUCUGCUCAGCCUGAAAACUUGAUUUUGAUAGAAGAGGAAGAAUUUUGCCUGGUUUUCUUGGCUUGAUUGAUUUGGUGAGCUGAAAGAAAGACACUGCUUCAUCAGAAUUCAAACAACAGAAAACAUCUCCCAGCCACAUCAAGCAAGCAGCAGCGACGUGUUUCUCUUCAACACGGAUAAUUGCCUUAACAAUACGUCAUCCUGGUUCACAACAACGCAGUAGAUAUGCUGACCACUGACAGUAACAAAAUGACCUGCAUGGUUCAAAGGAAAUCAAACCUGUGAGCUUUCCCAGCAGCAGCUAUGCCAUGGUAUCACAUCUGAAAGUAGCAGUGAAGUGUAUUAUUCUCCUGUCGUAAGAUUGUAUUAUGAGAGAGAAAAAAAAAAGG
rnacentral:lncRNA from 10 species